rnacentral:rRNA from 1 species
CCCUUAGAUGUUCUGGGCCGCACGCGCGCUACACUGACUGGUGCAACAAGUGUCUGACCUUGGCUCGAGAGGCCUGGGCAACCUUUGAACGCCAGUCGUGCUGGGGAUAGAUCUUUGCAAUUUUCGAUCUUAAACGAGGAAUUCCUAGUAAGCGCAAGUCAUCAGCUUGCGUUGAUUACGUCCCUGCCCUUUGUACACACCGCCCGUCGCUACUACCGAUUGAAUGGUUUAGUGAGGUCUCCUGAUUGGCGUUUUGCAGCUGGAAACAGCAGUGGGAUGCUGAAAAGUUGAUCAAACUUGAUCAUUUAGAGGAAGUAAAAGUCGUANCA